rnacentral:rRNA from 1 species
CAGUCGCCACGGGAAUACGGAGGGAGCUAGCGUUGUUCGGAAUUACUGGGCGUAAAGCGCGCGUAGGCGGUUACUCAAGUCAGAGGUGAAAGCCCGGGGCUCAACCCCGGAACUGCCUUUGAAACUAGGUGACUAGAAUCUUGGAGAGGUCAGUGGAAUUCCGAGUGUAGAGGUGAAAUUCGUAGAUAUUCGGAAGAACACCAGUGGCGAAGGCGACUGACUGGACAAGUAUUGACGCUGAGGUGCGAAAGCGUGGGGAGCGAACAGGAUUAGAGACCCGCGUAGUCCCUGUCUCUUAUAA